GUUAUUUUUAUGUCCCCUGUGAGCCUGAGCAUCUUUGCCUAUUAUUCUGGGCCGUUUGUGUUUCCUCUUCUGUGCUGGCUCAGAUCUUUUGACUGUGUUCUUCCUAGGCUCUUUGUCAUUUUCUUGUUGGUUUGUAGCAGCUCUUUAUAUAUUACAGAUCUUAAGCAUCUUCAUAGAUAUUACAAACAUUGCUCCCAGUCUGCUGCUUGUCUUUGGCCUUGUUGAUGGUGCCUUAGCCACUCAAAACGUCUUCAUUUUCUGGUUGUCAGAUCUCUAUCCCUUUUCUAUUAGGGCCCCUGAAAAUAUCUUCCUCAACCCGAGGUAUUAAAAAUGGGGAAAUAAAUGGAGGAAGGGAGAGGCCAAACGGAGAGCUCCUUCCCCAGAGCCCUGUCCAGCCAAAUCUCAAGAACAUCACGGCUUCUCAGGGCUGUUCCUCCUUUUCUCCUCUUAAAACAUAAAAUAACAUGAAAGUCCUACAGUCAAGAAACAGAGUGCUUUUUAUUUGCAUGUGAGGUGGGGGUGCUGAAAAUGGAAGCCAUCCAGUGUCUGCCAAAAAGCCUUAAGCAAGAGGCUGGCCCCGUGGCCUAGUGGUUAAAUUUGGUGCACUCUGCUUUGGCAGCCCGGUGGUGUAGGUCUGCACCCAGGAACUGAACCCUGGCCACCAAAAUGGAGCAUGCCGAACUUAACCACUAGACCACGGGGCCAGCUCCUAAAAUUCUGACUUCUAACACCAUUGCCUAUGUUGCCUGUUCUAGAACUUCAAAAAAAUGUAUUCUUUUGUGUCUGGCUUUUCUUGCUCAACAUUCUGUUGCAUGGAGCUGUGGUUGAUCCAUUCUAGAGUAUGAAUUAGUCAAUUUAUUUAUCCAUUCUUUUGUCGAUGGGCAUUUGGCUUGGUUCCAGUUACAAUGCUGCGAGCACACGGCUCCUGGCUUUUGGUGAACACGCGUGUGCGUUUCUGGGGAGUAGGACUCCAGCGGUGGGUCUGCCGGGUCGUAGGGCAUGCGUGGGUCCAGUUUUAGUAGAUUCUUUAAAAUCGUAUUCCGAAGUCAUCUUACCAGUUGGUGCUCCCACCGGCAAUGUAUGAGAGCUCCGGCUGUGCCAUAUCUGACUGGGUAUUGUCGGUAUUUUUCAUUUUAACCAUUCUAGUGGCAUUUAUUGCAAUUUUAAUUACAUUUCCCUGAUGACUACUUUUAUCAAGUAUCUUCUCAUGGGUUUAUUAACCAUUUGUUUAUCUCCUUCUUUUAGUUUAUAUUAAAUAUUUUCCCUCUUAUAAAGGGAUUGUUUUCUAAUUGAUUUGAAAGUUAUUUAUAUAAUAACUAUAUAACUUAUAAAAUAUAUAUUUCUUUAAAUAUAAAUAUAUUUGUCAAAUAUAUGUAUUGUGAAUAUUUUCUUUGUCUGUACUUGCCUUUUCAUUUCUUAACAGUGUCUUCUGCAGAGCAGAAGGUUUCAAUUUUGAUGAAAUCCAGUUCAUCAUUUUCUUUUAUUAUUUGUACUUUUAAAUUAUUUUUAGUUCUUGUUUUUAUUUUAUCUAUUUAUUUUUAUUUUAUUUUUAAUAAUUCUUAAUUUAUUUUAUUUUUAUAUGUGCACUUAUUUUUAUCUUAUUUGUAUUUAUUACUUACUAAUUUGUUAUUUUUGAAUUUUUAUUUUUAUUAUUUUUUGUUAUUUGUACUUUUUGCGUGAAACCUGAGAAAUCAUUGCCUACCCCCAAGGUUGUGAAGUUUUUCUCCUAGAAGUUUUAUAGUUUUAGACUUCUCCUUUACGUCCAGUUAGUUUCUGUGAUAACGUGAGUUAAGAGUCAAGGUUCGUCUUUCCACGUGUGGGGUCAGUUGUUCCAGCUCCGUUGUUGUGGACGCUGUCAUCCCCCCUUUGAAUUAAUUGGAAGCCUUUAUUGAAGAUCAACAGACCCCGUCCUCGUGGGCCUAUUUCUCGGCUUUACCCCAUCCAGCUGUCGGUCGAAGCUCGUCCCUCUGCCACGUUGUCCCGAUCGCAGUAGCAUCACGGUAUGUCAACGUCCGGCGGCGUAAAUCCUACAACUUUCUUCUUUGUCAAAACAGUUCAUUCUAAGUCCUGUGCGUUUCCAUACGCAUUUUAGGACCAGUUUGUAAUUUCUCCAGAAGCCUGCCGGGAUGUGAGCUGGGGUUGUCCUGACUCUGCAGCUGUUUAGGGAGAACAGACGCGGUGACAUUUGAACCACAGUGAGUGAUCCAAGGCUGCCCGUCCAUGAACAUGGUAUAUCGCUCCCUCUAAAACGAGGCUUCCAGGGCUGCUGUAACUCCUCUCGGCGGCGUUCAGAGUGUCCGCUGGGCAGAUCUGGCACAGCCACAGAGGGAGCCGGCAGCCUAUGUUCACCAGCCCCUGGUGCUGGUCGUCGCUGCACCAGAGAACCUCAGGGCUGGGGCGGGCAGGGAGAAAGCGUCCUCCUCAAUUUCUACAUCUGUUUUCCUGCCCAUGAGUGGAGAUGAUACCCGUGCCCAGCUGAUCCAUGUACUCAGAACAGUGCUUAGCACAUAACAGGUGCUCAGCAAACAGCCGCUACGAUUGCCCCCAAAGCAAGGAGGAAGGUAACCAAGGUGUGCUCGUCAGUCCCCUGUGUGUGACAUCAGAGAGAAACAGGGCCAGUUCCCAAGUCAUAAAUCUGAGGACAGAUCUAGACUUUUCUUCCCCCUUACCUGCCACAUCCAAUCAAUCUCCAAGCCUUGUCCUUUGUGCGUCCUUCUUCUUUUUUGGUGAGGAAGAGUGGCCCUGAGCUAGCAUCUGUGCCAAUCUUCCUCCAUUUUGUAUGCAGGAUGCCACCACAACAUGGCUUGAUGAGCGAUGUGUAGGUCUGCGCCUGGGAUCUGAACCUGCGAAGCCCAGACCGUGGAACCCUGACCACUAAGCCUCCAGCCUGGCCCCACUUCCUCCUUUUUUUUUUUUUCUUUUUAAAUCCAUCUAUUUUUUUGUGGACCAUCACUCCAUCAUUGGGAUCACCUGCAAUGGACCAGAAUCAUUCAGUUUGCUGAUCACCACUCAACACACCCGGGGUCGUCUCCAGGCUUUGGCAGAAACGAACUUCUUCGUAUCUACACCCUUGGGCCCCUGUGGCGUCCUUAUAUCACGUCCUCACCUCCCGCUCUCCUCCCCUCCUCCCUGUCAGCCUCUGCCCCCCUCCUCCCACUGCCACUGCUCUGGUCAAGGUCAGUGGUGACCUCCAUUCUUCUGUCCUCAUCUCAGGAGUAUCCAACGCUGAUGGCUCACUCCUUUUCCUCUAAACCCCAUUUCCACCCCCAACCCCAAAGGAACCACGUUCUCUGAGGGACCCAGUUGCGUGUUGCCAUUUUACCCGCCUGCCAUGAGCUGUUGGGGACAGCACAUGGACCAUCUUUAGGUGACAUAGUAGUUUGAUGGCGCCCUCAUCUCUAUAGAGCGGCUCUGUUCUGGAUAUUGUUUCCUUGCUCACCUUCCUAAGAAGUUCUUGACUCGCCCCCUCCCCUCCCGUGUGCCUGCCCUGACCCGGCUCCUCCCCGCCUCCCCGUGCCUGUUUCCCACGGCUGCCAUAACAAAGGACCACGGAAUAGGUGACUCAGAAUGACAGAAACAUAUUCUCCCACACUUCUGGAGGCCAGAAGUUCCAAAUCAAGGUGGCGGCAGGGCCGUGCACCCCGUGAAACCUGCAGGGGUCCCUCCUGGCCUCGUCUGGCUUCCGGCGCUCUGCUGGCCAUCUGCGUUCCUUGGCUUGUGGCUGCAUCGCUCCAGUCCUCCGUCUCUGCAUGGCUGUCUUCUCCCUCUCUGCGUGUCUCUCUGUGCCCAAAUGUCCCCUAUUUGUAAGGACACAGUCGUAUCGGGUUAGACCGCACCCUGUGAGCUCAUCUUAACUUGAACAUCUGCCGAGACCUUAUUUCCAAAUCAGGUCAUGUUCACAGGCGCUGGAACUAGGACUCCAGACUACCUCUCUGGGGGACACAGCUCAACCCACCACACCCCCUCUAAACCCCCCCUCCACAUGGCCGCCCGAGGGCAGAGCACACACCCGACCCAGUCCUUUCUCUGCUCAAAAUCCUUCCAAGACAGAAUACUAUUCAGCCAUGAAAAGGAACGAAGCACCAAUCCAGGCUACAACAUGGAAGAGCCUCGAAAACACCACGCUGAGCAAAAGAAGCCAGACACAAAGGACCAUAAAUUUAUGUGAAAUGUCCAGAACAGGCAAAUGUGUCCAGCCAGAAAGGGGACGGGUGGUUGCCCAGGGUUGGGGGUUGUGGGCAAUGUGGAGUGACUAAGAAGUCGAAGGUGUCUUUUUGGGGUGACGAAAACGUUCCCCAGUAGGUUGUGGCGAGAGAUGCGCGACUCUGUGAAUAUAGGACAGCCACCGAACUGAACCGUUUGAAUGAGUGCAUUUGAUGGUAUGUGAAUGACAUCUCAAUGAAGCUUCCAAAAAACCAAAAACCCCUUCCCUGGGUCCCCAGCGCCCUCUGGAGGGAGCCCAGCUCAUCGCCUGCCACAUUCUGAGGCUUCCGGGCCGGAUGACCCAGGGUCACACGGUCCCCAACACGUCAUUCACAAGACGCCACGCAGCCACGCACAGCGAGACACUGCCACCGGCACACAGAGUCUGGGGACACCCAGAUCUGGCUGUGACAGACACAGGCUCGCACAGAGACAUGCCACCUAGACCGGGCACCGUGGGACAGACACAGCCGCCCUCGGAGACACACACGCCCCCUUCAGGAACAGUCUCGGCUGAGGACACAGUCCUGGGGGUGCCCUCCCCCCGGUGGCACGUGGACCCCAGUCCUGAGUCCACCCUCGCCAUAGCCACACGACGGUCACACACACACACACACACACACACACACGGAGCCGAGACCGCCUGGCCCUGCCCGUCCGCCCCACACAGCCCACCUCACAGACCCAUCAGGGUGCCCACCUCCUCGGGGCGCAGCCGGCUCAGCGACGCCCACCCCCUGCACAGGUGGCCUUGGAAUGGGGUCCAGCCCCUGGUUCCUCACCCAGGGGCGUGGAGGAGGUAUUUUUAGUUACAAUUAACCUCCAGCCCAAUUUCCCUCCUCGCGGGUGGCACAGCCAAUCGGUUUCAUUAGAGAAGAUUAAGGGGGAGGCAUUCGCAGGCCCCCAGAAAGGUGGGGGGGGGGGGCAAGGAGCUGCCCCUCCCCCACCCCGUGUCCCCCAUCCCCCUCUCCAGGCCAGGCAGGGGCUGCGGGAACCCUGAACCCUUGAGGCAGACCUCCGGCCUGGGCCCCGCCCCGCCCCGCCU
ensembl:lncRNA